rnacentral:rRNA from 1 species
UUAUCCUCAUAAGUUUGACGAAAAGAGGUACCGAAUUAAAUAAAAUAAUAUAAAAGCGGUGUCACAGAAUCGGAGGCCACGACUGUUUACUAAAAACACAACACAGUGCAAUCAUUAAUAUGAUAGUAUACUGUGUGAAAUUUGCCCGAUGCCAUUAAUAUAAGAGAAGUUAUAGUAAAUUGUAACUAAUCGAAAAUCUGGUUAAUAGCGGUCUUAACUAUGAGGAUCCUAAGGUAGCAAAAUAAAUUGGCCAUUAAAUGUGGUCCGGUAUCAAUAAUGUAACGAUGGCCUCACUGUCUCUACAACUUGCUCAGUGAAAUUGAAUUACGCGUGCAGAUGCGC